ensembl:lncRNA
CGCCAGCUGUGUUUCAUCUGAAUACAUAUUUAUUAGAUAAAUAUUAGGAUGUCACAUCAUCUAACUACAUACAGAUUUGCAAGACUAAAAAUCACAAUGUUCUUCUGACCAGUUUAGAAUAUGAAAUGAUUGUACAUAGAAUGUACAAAACCAAAUAGACAACUGCCACUUGUGCCAAUCACUUCAGAUUGUACCUUUAUAGCAUAAGUUUGCCAAAUUGCAUAAAAAUUAUAAAUUUGACAAAAUGUUUUACAAACUGUAAAUUUUGGAAACAACCCUCGAGAGCCUUCUCGAAGCUCGAUGUCUCCCGAGUCCCAAUUAUACCUCAAAAGGUCGGAAUAAUUUCGUAGCACCUUUAUAAAGUACACAGGUAAUAACGAAAUACACAGAAUUUUCAUAUUACACAAGAGGAAAAAUGUCUUUUCUUUUUCUUGAACCCCUUGUUGAGGGGUUCAUAAAGUAUCUUACAUAAAUGAACAGGCAUGGUUAGAGAGGUCUGCACAGACAUAAUCAAACAGACUCAUUUUCCCAAUUCAAUGUCUGACAGGAGGAUGCAAGCUUUACAAAUUCUAAAUACACUAUGCACACUCCCACUGGAGAAAAUGAAUACAUUUCUGUUAACGUGUCUCUAUUUGUCAUUUACAUUAUGUACAAAUAUCCCUUAUAUCCCCAAACCCGUCCCCCAAUCCUUACUGGGGGUCUUUCCCGAAUUUCAUUUUACAAUAUUAAUCGUCUUCUCCUUUAAAUCCUCAACUAGUACAAAGUGUGUCGCGAAAAUUACUCGAUUUUUGUGAAAGGUUACAGUCAUGAUUACACACUGUGUAGGGAAAUAAAACAUCCCAAUGCGGCAGUGCAUUGUCUUUAACAAACAUAUAAACAAACACAAAACAUUUGACUCUUUCAGCUGUGUUGUAUGCAGGCCAUGUGAUUACUCUUGAAGCCAAAAUGCGGUUCUUGAAAAGGGAUCAUAAAGCCUAAAUAUGGGCGACCUUUUUUUUUUUUUUUUUUUUAAUCGACGACAUACAGUUUACUUCAUAUUCAUUGUCUUUACUGCAUAAACUGACGUAAACCAAAUUUUACUCUCAUACAAACACUGGACAAAAAUAACUUAAAAUGCAAAACAAAAGUGAUGGAAACACAGAUCGAUGGCUAUGAAAAGCUCAGUAUCACACCUCAAAACCAUCCAGAGAACAUUUUUUUUGCACAUUCUCACCUUAAAUAAAGUAGAUGAGGAUCCAAUAAUAUUGAACAAAUCCGUUUUGGAGAAAUUUGGACCUCAGAGCUGCAUUAACAACCUUUUAUAUAUUUCUUCCUGCUGAUUCAAAGUCACAGAGUAAUGGAAAAAACUGUACACAAUACACAGGUACUUAAUAAAAAGCCAGUGAGAGUGCAUUUAAAUCAAUUCCUUACAAUGUUGGACUGUUUAUCGGGGACUGUGUGUAUUUAAUGUGUGUGAGUUGUCACCGACAGACACGCAGUACCAUGUAGAUGCCAGUAAUAGUUAGGUACAGUACUGUACAGUCACAAUGUAUUCACAAAGGGUAUAUACAACAGCUCUGGAAACACUGUCGGGUCAUGCAGGUUGUUUUUUUUCUUCCCCCCUCCCAAGCAGUAAUAAAACAACAAAAGAUCAGUACAGUCAUACAGAUAUCUUUUUUUUUCUGUGUGUGUGUGUUUGAUUUUUUUUUUUAUAAAACACAGUGAUUUUAAAAACUUCUGUGGAUGUCUGUGGGAUGCUGAAAUCCUGCUGUUACACCAACACACAGUAAUAUCCAGACUCAACCCCUUACAAAAAGCACAGGACAGCUGCGGUGACUGAUUCGUGUCAAUGAAGGGAAGGGAGCAGGAGGUUGAACGAAGAUAAAACACAAAGACGCUGACAAAAAACAAAAAAAACCCCGAUGAAUU